CCUACGGGAGGCAGCAGUGGGGAAUAUUGCACAAUGGGGGGAACCCUGAUGCAGCAACGCCGCGUGGGUGAAGAAGUACUUCGGUAUGUAAAGCCCUGUCAGCAGGGAAGAAAAUGACGGUACCUGACCAAGAAGCCCCGGCUAACUACGUGCAAGCAGCCGCGGAAAUACGUAGGGGGCAAGCGUUAUCCGGAUUUACUGGGUGUAAGGGGAGGGUAGGCGGCAAGGCAAGUCUGGAGUGAAAGCCCGUGGAUCAACCAAGGGACUGCUUUGGAAACUGUGUUGCUGGAGUGCAGGAGGGGUAAGCGGAAUUCCUAGUGUAGCGGUGAAAUGCGUAGAUAUUAGGAGGAACACCGGUGGCGAAGGCGGCUUACUGGACUGUAACUGACGUUGAGGCUCGAAGGCGUGGGGAGCAAACAGGAUUAGAUACCCCUGUAGUC
rnacentral:rRNA from 1 species